rnacentral:sRNA from 2 species
AUGUGCCACUCGCACGCUCCGGGCCUGAGCGCCGUCCACCUUUACCUGACGACUUCUCGCUAUGUCUUGCUAGCC